AGUGUAGUGGUUUACGCAUUUGCCUAACAAGCAAAAGAUCCCUGGUUCAAUCCUGG
rnacentral:tRNA from 1 species